rnacentral:tRNA from 1 species
CACUAAGAAGCUAAAUCGGAUGUAGCGUUAGCCUUUUAAGCUAAAAACUGGUGAUCUCCAACCACCCUUAGUGA